rnacentral:rRNA from 1 species
CAGUCGCCGCGGUAAUGCGAAGGGGGCUAGCGUUGUUCGGAAUUACUGGGCGUAAAGCGCGUGUAGGCGGGUCCUUAAGUCAGGGGUGAAAUGCCAAGGCUCAACCUUGGAACUGCCUUUGAUACUGGGGAUCUUGAGUCCGGGAGAGGUGAGUGGAACUGCGAGUGUAGAGGUGAAAUUCGUAGAUAUUCGCAAGAGCACCAGUGGCGAAGGCGGCUCACUGGCCCGGAACUGACGCUGAGACGCGAAAGCGUGGGGAGCAAACAGGAUUAGAUACCCCAGUAGUCCCUGUCUCUUAUAC